AUCGCUUCUCGGCCUUUCGGCCUUUUGGCUAAGAUCAAGUGUAGUAUCUGUUCUUAUCAGUUUAAUAUCUGAUACGCCCUCUAUAUGAGGGCUACAUAUUAAAUGGAUUUUUAGAACAGGGAGCCAGAACAGGAGCUUGCUCCUUCUGCUCCACGCAUCGACCUGGUAUUGCAGUACCUCCAGGAGCGGUGCACCUUCC